rnacentral:sRNA from 1 species
GGAGUGCGCCGGGCGCCGCUGUUGUGGCUGCUGCCGUGGCAGCGGCAUUCGAGAGCAAACUCUGCUGAUGCAGCAGCAGUUGCUGCUGCUGUUGUGGCAACAAAUUGGCCAUCGCCGCCAUGGCAACAGCAGCCACCUGCUGCUGAUGAUGAUGUUGCUGCUGCUGCUGUUGCUGCUGCUGUUGAUGUUGCACUUGCUGUGCCUGUGCCUGUGCCUGCUGCUGUUGCUGGUGAUGCACGGCUGCUGCUGCAGCUGCGGCCACUGCGGCAGCCGCACUAUGAUGAUGCUGUCCAUGCUGCUGCUGCUGUUGCUGCUGCACGGCCACGGCCAGGCCAUUGCCAUU